AUCAGCUGCAUCUAGGUAGUCUGCAUGUGUUCCCAGCCUGUAUCUGUGACUACACCUGCAGGACUUACCAUCACACAGUCUAAGCUCUCACCAGGCUGAUCAUGUGACUGCAUUACAUCAUAAUACUGUAGCAUCUGUGAUGUCACAGAGAGUUCUGCUGGUCACAGUCGGCAAUCAGCUGCAUGCCGGUAUUCUGCACUGUAUGUGCUCCCAGCCUGUAUCUGUGACUACACCUGCAGGACUUACCAUCGCACAGUCUACGCUCUCACCAGGCUGAUCAUGUGACUGCAUUACAUCAUAAACACCGUAGCAUCUGUGAUGUCACAGAGUUAGUGCUGCUGUCACAGUCGGCAAUCAGCUGCAUGCCGGUAUUCUGCACUGUAUGUGCUCCCAGACUGUAUCUGUGACUACGCCUGCAGGAUUUACCAUCGCUCAGUUUAAGCACAGCAUCAGACGCACGUUCUCAGAUCCUCUCUGCAUCACAGAGUACUAUGCAAUGAGUGAGAGCCCCCCAUACAGCUUCACCUCUCCUGUACUGGACGCUAAUGGCUGAGAACGUGGCAGACCCUGUGUCUCUUACAGCUCUGUGGCUUACAUUAUAUUUUAUACUAUUAACAGUAAAUUGCAUUUACCAGGCUUUAAGAAUACAUACUGUAUAUAUGA